AAGCACGAGUGUGGUGGAGCUC
rnacentral:miRNA from 1 species